rnacentral:rRNA from 1 species
UUUAUUUAUAUUCUUAUUUUUUUAAUUAAUUUAAAUUAAUAUUGAUAAGCCAUUAAAAAAAUAAUUUAUAACGGUGACACAAAAUCGGAGGCCACGACUGUUUACUAAAAACACAACACAGUGCAAUCAUUAAUAUGAUAGUAUACUGUGUGAAAUUUGCCCGAUGCCAUUAAUAUAAGAGCGAUCAUGGUUUUCUGUGAUUAAUCGAAAAUCUGGUUAAUAGCGGUCUUAACUAUGAGGAUCCUAAGGUAGCAAAAUAAAUUGGCCUUUAAAUGAGGUCCGGUAUCAAUAAUGUAACGAUGGUCUCACUGUCUCUACAACUUGCUCAGUGAAAUUGAAUUACGCGUGCAGAUGCGCGUUGCCUUCAGGGGGACGGGAAGACCCUAUGCAG